CGACAGAAAAAAGAACAGCCACGAGCCCACGACCGCACGUCCCCACGAUCCAAUCACCCCGACCCCGUCGCCCCAAUGGCCGUCUCUCCCGAGAGGCAAGAGAAAUCGAUCCAAUCACCCCGACCCCGUCGCCGCCCAACGUCCAUGGCCGUCUCUCCCGAGUGGCCAAGAGAAAUCGACCCGCUUCCGCGGUUCUGCCCUACAGUCUUCGCGUCGUCCCGCGCCCAAGGGCGCUCUCCUCUACCCAAUCCUCCUCCCUGUCGAUUGUCUGUCGCCCCAUCCAUGGGCCUUUCGCCGUGCCCGUGAUGCGCCGCGUCCGGGACCAGCACAGAGCCUGCACAGGGUGGUAUGAGCGCAGCCAAUGCCUCCUCUCCACCCGUCGCCGGUGAGGACUCUUAAGGAUGGCUACUGAUGACGGCGAGGAGACCCAUCAGAAGUGGUGCAUGCGUGCGGCAUGCCAUUAGAGAAGAAAGGCUCAUGUAUGAAGAACGUUGGCACCAGCCUAUGUGCCACCAUCCGCAUAGAAGACGAGGUAGUGUUACCAGAUGCGUACACAGUUCAUGUGAAGUAACCCCUCAUUGCUUCGAUGCUGAUUCAGUGGAUUACCAGUUCACCACCACCGCCAUUGAAGAUGCAGGUUCUCUUCUAGGCUUGGUGGUGAAGAAGCCAGCAACGUUGGUGCGCUGCAGCCUGCAGGUCAUAGAUGUGAAGAAGCAAGCACGAGGCCAUGCGGUCUAGCAGCAGGACACAGUAUUUCUCAAUCCUAAAUCCCGCUCUCCUUUCUUUAUUUUUUUGUUGCUUCAUCUAGGUUGGGGAUUGGGAGCAAUUAGAAAAUGUAGAUCAGUGUAGGAAUUACACUUGCUUGAUCGCUUUGUGUAGAUUUGUUAAUGUACCAACUAGAACGAGUAAAUUAUGUGAUGUAUCUCAUCUGGAGGGAGCACAUAUUUGGAGGCCACACGAGAACAGACAACAUCUCUCCCUCUCACACAUUAACAAUAUUUAUAGAGAUGAUAGAAAGACGUCAUGCAGACAUUUGACCAACAGGCUGAGCAGAACAGUAACAAAUGCAAGCAUCAGUUGAUUCAGUUCUAAGCAACGGAAAAACUACAUAAAAAGGGGGACUGCCAUCUACAUCCUUCCUGAAACUGAAAUCAACAAAAACCAGUGCACACAUGUCUUAGGGGAGCAUGGUCUUGUCAAACCUCAGGAUGGAAGAAAAAUUACUUCUGUUCCAAGAUGAUAGCUCGGCCGGUGUAAAAAGAUUUGGAUCAAAUCACUCCAUUUUAAAAUGUAAUCUACCUAAAAUCAAACAGAUACGAGCCCUGAUUCUGAACUAUGGGAGGGUAAAUUAACACUUACACAUAGAUAUUGAUUGAUUUAGGACAUAACCCCAUCUCUCCCAUACCCUCUUUCUCUCACUUGUUUUUCCUCUCUUAACCACAGCAUGAAGGAGGCUAGGACUGAGUGCAGGCCUGUGACUAGGAUCAAUAGCAGGAGACAACGUCACAUCGUGGAUGUAAUUAAUACAAAUUUGACCAAAGGAUUUAUUGUUGUUUGGCAGACGGGGACUUGUUCAUCUUUGUUGUAGCACGGUGCCUUGUUCCAGAUAUUGUAUAUGUCUUUUUAUGUAUCCUUUGUUUGUUCUGAAUUUGGCUGCUUUCAUGCAGAUCAAGUUGUCAUGGAGGACAAAAAGAGGGGUGCAUUGCAAUCUAUAUUUUUCACUACUAAAUGUGUGACACAAUCUGUUGAGAAACACAUUGAGGUAUGCGUAGUAUACUUCAGUAUAUGCUCAUUUCAUCUGGAGGUACAAUCUCAACUUCUUGAAGCAACAUACAGUACCGGAGGGUGUAACUUUUGGACAUUUACGUCAAAACCUUGGAGAUGAUGGAUGCUCGGUGACUAGCUCUGCAUGCCUUCUAUGGGGUUCAAAAUUACUUUAUGAUGUUCAUCCUGCUAGGCUGCAGGGUCAUAGUGCUUCCAGUAUUUUUAAUUUUGAAUCAUAUAGUCAAUCAAUCAGUCAUGGAUCAGAUGGUUUAAUAAGUUUUUUUGCAUUUCAUAUGGUAGUGAUCGACAGAGGCUCUUUUGGUCCAAUCACUGAGAGAUCAAAUAGCUUGAGCUUGCCAUACACAAAGCAAUGUAACUAGAAUAGUCUUUAUUUUUCAAUCAGUUUCCCAGUUAUAUUUCUUCUAGAAUUCAAUUUUUUACUUUGUGAUUCAUUGGCUUUUUGUUAGAUGAUACACGCUUCCAACUACAGUGCAGACGCUCCAAAAAUCAGGCUACAUGCCAGCUGCAAACAAAUAUAAUAAAGUUGUUUGGGUGGAUCUGUUGUGGUGCUGCUUAGGUGGAUCUAAUCAAGACAACUAUUGAUCGUCUUCCAUUUCAACAGCAGCAAUGUGGGGUGUCACAUGUGGAGUAGGAGGUGUAAGAGAAGAUGGAGAAGGUGAUUAUUCUCGCAUUACAUUGAGUGUUGAGUGCGGGGUAUAUGGAAAUAUUUGAAUUGAAGACGAUCCGGUACCUGAGAUAAAUGAUCGAGGAGACGCAUGACUUGAAUAAAAAUAUUUGUGAGAAUAUGAAAUGAGGAAAUUACUAUUUCUGACCGA